ACGUAGGGAGCAAGCGUUAUCCGGAUUUACUGGGUGUAAAGGGCGUGUAGGCGGGCUUGUAAGUUGGAAGUGAAAUCUGGGGGCUUAACCCCCAAACUGCUUUCAAAACUGCGAGUCUUGAGUGAUGGAGAGGCAGGCGGAAUUCCCAGUGUAGCGGUGAAAUGCGUAGAUAUUGGGAGGAACACCAGUGGCGAAGGCGGCCUGCUGGACAUUAACUGACGCUGAGGCGCGAAAGCGUGGGGAGCAAACAGGAUUAGAUACCCUGGUAGUCCACGCCGUAAACGAUGGAUACUAGGUGUGGGAGGUAUUGACCCCUUCCGUGCCGGAGUUAACACAAUAAGUAUCCCACCUGGGGAGUACGGCCGCAAGGUUG
rnacentral:rRNA from 1 species